rnacentral:rRNA from 1 species
UACAGAGGGUGCAAGCGUUGUUCGGAAUUAUUGGGCGUAAAGGGCGCGUAGGCGGUGCUGUAAGUCUGUAGUGAAAUCUCUGGGCUCAACUCAGAGUCUGCUAUAGAAACUGCAGUGCUGGAGUGUGGGAGAGGUGAGUGGAAUUCCCGGUGUGGCGGUGAAAUGCGUAGAUAUCGGGAGGAACACCUGUGGCGAAAGCGGCUCACUGGACCACAACUGACGCUGAGGCGCGAAAGCUAGGGGAGCAAACAGG